rnacentral:lncRNA from 1 species
GAAAAAGGAAAUUCCCAUUUAGAAACGCAAAACUGAGAAUUAACUAACUAUAACUUGUACAAAAUAAUCUAGUACCUUCCCAACAAUGACAGGGGAGUUCCCAAUGGGAUCAAUGUCAGUUAUAGGUCCCCGUUCUUCAGGGUAAAACUUUCUCAGUAACUAACUAACUACCUAUAACUUAUACAAAAUAAUCUAGUACCUUCCCAACAAUGACAGGGGAGUUCCCAAUGGGAUCAAUGUCAGUUAUAGGUCCCCGUUCUUCAGGGUAGAACUUUCUCAGUACAGACUCAUACUUUUUGGGUUCUAUAUAAAAGAAAGGGAAUGCCGCUCCAAGUCCAUCCAUUGAUAGGUUUGGGAUGGGCUUGACGAUAACAUGAUCUGGUUCUGC